CCUUCCCUGUGCUAUUCCAUCAGCCUACAGACCUGGUACCUGGAUUUUUGCCCGAGAUGAUUCCUACCACCUUACUACUGACGAAGACACCCAUUCCAGUGGACCACUGUGACCCAGGAGGCAUUCAGCCAUCAUGAUGUGGCCUUUACCUCCACUCCUGUCUUGUUCUACCCAGAUUCAGCACAGCCCUUUAUAGUGAAGUCAGAGUCCUCAAGCCAAAUAGCUAAAGCUGUUUUAUCACAACAAAGGCCUAGUUUGUUCCAUGAGUGUGCAUUUCAUUUCUUCAGUUAAAGCCUUCAGAGACACACAAUAAAUUUGGACCAGGGGAUUUUUUAGUUAUUAAUGCUCUCUGAAGAAAGGCAACAUCUUUUUGAGAGCAGCAUUGGACCACACCCCACAAUCUCAAAUGAUUGAAAUUCAUGAACAUCUAGGAUCCCGUGAAGGUCACUGGACCCUGUUUUUUCUACUUCAAAUCCUGUAGUAGCCUACUGAAUGAGAAAACAUAUUCUGACCCAUUGGGAUCAAAUCAAAGGCACAGUGAACUCCUCAUAGCAUCUUCUUUGGAAUUACUCAGGAACCAGAACUUUUUACACAAAUGUAAGAAAUUCUACCAAGGAGUCCCCUUACCUAACAGCAUCUCACAAGGCUGCACCAGAUUCCAGAAAAGGCUUCUCUUGAUACAUCAAGCAUUUUGUGACCGACUUAUUCUUAGAUCAUUGGUUUUCCAAAGGCUUUGUGGCCAUGAAGCCCUUUGAGUGAAAACUGUGCAGAAGCCCAGAGUAAAAGUGAAGCUGCUCUGGAUGAAGUAGUGAAGCAAGAGUAGGGGCCUGAAUCCUGCUACAACUAUCUUCCUUUACCACCGUGGUGACACCUAAGGGGACUUCCUUACAACACCUUGAACUCUUCCGAACACAGUUUGAAAACCACUGCCCCAGACAGCAAUAUGUUUGACCUGAAUGGCAUUCCAAUCUUUUCUGUACCUCCACUCAGCACAGUUCAUGUUCAGUAGAUGCUGAACAUUCUUAGAAAUACUGUGUGUGAACUUAGAAAAGUGCAAGAAGACAGGCAUGUCUUUGACCCCAGGAAUGAUCAUUUGCUGAAGAUGGUGUCAAGUGAACCUAGAUUAACAGCCCUCCACUCCAGAUGGAUAUCCAGUGAUUCCUAGAAUGGGAUAUAGCCAGAGAACAAUUCUAUGCACCCUACACUGACAGACUCCCUUAAGCAACACCAGAUGCUCUACUGGUACUUGAAGUACAUGACUUUGAAGUCUUGACCCUCCAUGAAUACCUGAAUUAUCAGCAAGCGGGUUUUGAAGCUGGUGCCUCAUUGAGGCCAUAUUAGAGCAACUUGUACAUUUGACCUCUUGUUAUCAGCCAUGGUACUCUACUUCGUGUGCAAGAGAUAACUAUGAAAGCCAAAUUCAAAUACUGGCAACAUUUCCUAAAGGGGCUCAAUAUCUAUCAUUCGUCUUCUUUUCCAAACUACACAUCACUGUAUGACUCAACCAGUAGCAGUUAUAUUGCCCCUUGGUUUUUAUUCAGUUUAACUACUGUUUCCAAGAUAAAUGAGCUAAUAAGCUUUAAAAAAAAAAAAAAAAAA
rnacentral:lncRNA from 1 species